rnacentral:lncRNA from 12 species
CACACUCCUAUGCCCCGAGCUCCGGGAUGGCCCAGAUGCUGGAGCAGGAAGGUUGGACCAGAUGAGCCACUGUGGGCCCUUCCAACCCUCCCUAGCCUGUGGCUCUGUGGUUCUGUGGUUCUGUGAUUCUGUGGCUCUGUGGCUCUGUGGCUCUGUGGCUCUGUGUCUCUGUGGUUCUGUGGCUCUCUGGUUCUGUGGUUCUGUGGCUCUGUGGCUCUGUGUGUUUCUGUGGUUAUGUGGUUCUGUGGCUCUGUGGUUCUGUGGCUCUGUGGUUCUGUGGCUCUGUGGUUCUGUGGCUCUGUGGUUCUGUGGCUCUGUGGUUCUGUGGCUCUGUGGUUCUGUGGCUCUGUGGUUCUGUGGCUCUGUGGUUCUGUGGCUCUGUGGUUCUGUGGCUCUGUGGUUCUGUGGCUCUGUGGUUCUGUGGCUCUGUGGUUCUGUGGCUCUGUGGUUCUGUGGCUCUGUGGUUCUGUGGCUCUGUGGUUCUGUGGCUCUGUGGUUCUGUGGCUCUGUGGUUCUGUGGCUCUGUGGUUCUGUGGCUCUGUGGUUCUGUGGCUCUGUGGUUCUGUGGCUCUGUGGUUCUGUGGCUCUGUGGUUCUGUGGCUCUGUGGUUCUGUGGCUCUGUGGUUCUGUGGCUCUGUGGUUCUGUGGCUCUGUGGUUCUGUGGCUCUGUGGUUCUGUGGCUCUGUGGUUCUGUGGCUCUGUGGUUCUGUGGCUCUGUGGUUCUGUGGCUCUGUGGUUCUGUGGCUCUGUGGUUCUGUGGCUCUGUGGUUCUGUGGCUCUGUGGUUCUGUGGCUCUGUGGUUCUGUGGCUCUGUGGUUCUGUGGCUCUGUGGUUCUGUGGCUCUGUGGUUCUGUGGCUCUGUGGUUCUGUGGCUCUGUGGUUCUGUGGCUCUGUGGUUCUGUGGCUCUGUGGUUCUGUGGCUCUGUGGUUCUGUGGCUCUGUGGUUCUGUGGCUCUGUGGUUCUGUGGCUCUGUGGUUCUGUGGCUCUGUGGUUCUGUGGCUCUGUGGUUCUGUGGCUCUGUGGUUCUGUGGCUCUGUGGUUCUGUGGCUCUGUGGUUCUGUGGCUCUGUGGUUCUGUGGCUCUGUGGUUCUGUGGCUCUGUGGUUCUGUGGCUCUGUGGUUCUGUGGCUCUGUGGUUCUGUGGCUCUGUGGUUCUGUGGCUCUGUGGUUCUGUGGCUCUGUGGUUCUGUGGCUCUGUGGUUCUGUGGCUCUGUGGUUCUGUGGCUCUGUGGUUCUGUGGCUCUGUGGUUCUGUGGCUCUGUGGUUCUGUGGCUCUGUGGUUCUGUGGCUCUGUGGUUCUGUGGCUCUGUGGUUCUGUGGCUCUGUGGUUCUGUGGCUCUGUGGUUCUGUGGCUCUGUGGUUCUGUGGCUCUGUGGUUCUGUGGCUCUGUGGUUCUGUGGCUCUGUGGCUCUGUGGUUCUGUGGUUCUGUGGUUCUGUGGCUCUGUGGUUCUGUGGCUCUGUGGCUCUCUGGCUCUGUGGCUUUGUGACUGCACCCUCACUUUACAUCUUGGUGACAUGGUGGGAGUCACCUAACCUCCAUAAAAAAUGGGCCAAAGCACAGGGACAAUGACCCUAUGGGUC